rnacentral:rRNA from 1 species
UACGAAGGGGGCUAGCGUUGCUCGGAAUCACUGGGCGUAAAGCGCACGUAGGCGGACUCUUAAGUCAGAGGUGAAAUCCUGGAGCUCAACUCCAGAACUGCCUUUGAUACUGGGAGUCUCGAGUUCGGGAGAGGUGAGUGGAACUGCGAGUGUAGAGGUGAAAUUCGUAGAUAUUCGCAAGAACACCAGUGGCGAAGGCGGCUCACUGGCCCGAUACUGACGCUGAGGUGCGAAAGCGUGGGGAGCAAACAGG